AUGUUUAAACUUAACGUUUGUGCUGAGGGUCGGGGGAUUCCCGCAUUAACGUUACUAACGUCAGAACUAGCAGAUGUAGCCUGGUUCUAGCUGGUAACGUUAGCGAACUAGCUAGCAACGUUUAGCACACCAUGUCAAAGCUGACCAAACUCCUUUUCUGUUAAAUGUUGGGAUUCGCCCGUCAUGAUUGAAUUAGUGAAUAUAAGCGUUGGUCAUGUUUUACUUUUCUGUGAGAGAAUGGGUUGACGAAGCUAGCCGACUGUAAAGUUUCUGCUAGCACGCUAGCAUAACGUUAGCUGCUAAUGGUUAGCACCGUCAAUCUCGUGUCUCGUGUGUUUAACAGCCAACGAACUUUUCUGUUGGAAGUUAGCAUUCGCCCCCACCCUCACUACGUUCAUUUGAACUUCAAACGUUGACGUUCGUUUUGACAAUACGGGUGAAUAUAACAACCGCGUGUCAGGUUUUAGCUUGCCAUUUGCACGAAUGUUUCAUUGCUGUUGUUGCUUUUAAUGUGUUAACGUCCUUAUUUUUCCCCCCAUAAAGUUAUCAAGGAAGGAAGUGGUGUACUGGAUGAAGCUGUAUGGACUCUUCUAACGCCUACCUUACACUGACAGACUUUGACAAGAUUUGGGAAAGAUUCUUGAAAGUCUUUUAAUUAAUGCCCCAUUCAAGCUUUACUCAAAAGACUACUAUCUAAGAAUCUUUCCCAAAUCUUGUCAAAGUCUGUCAGCAUAAGGUAACCUUAAUCAGGAUUUCUGGAGCAAGUUUUCUUGCAGGAAGCUUAAAGAAACAUUCCAUGACAAAUUGAUUGAUUGGUGCCAUGUCUGAGAGAAUGGGAACGGAAGUCAGCGGCGCAGUGCAUUCUGGGACAAAAAGGGCAUUUUCCUCCAUUAGGUGACCUGACGAUCGUGGGCACGGACGUUACAUCCAACAACACAACAGCAAAACAACCUGCUCACAUCUGAAGGAGGUGCAGUAGGACACACAGUAGGCUUGUUGGUCCAUCAUGCCGUUCAACCCCAUUUCCUCAGUUGAUCAACCUUCAAGUUUGCAGAGACAUCAUAUAGAAAUGCUCUCUCCCUAUGCUGGUGUUCCUGAUCCAUGCAGUGGUGUCAGAAAGGGUUGAUGUAGCUCCUGAGCUCCUUCUAGCCUGGAUGGAUUUUUGAUGUCCAGAACUCACCUUUUUUGAUUUCGCAAGCCACAGAAAGGCAACACCUUUGUGACAUCUCAAUGGUUUGUGCACCUGGGCUUUUUCAUGCCAAAAGACUGUUGAAAUCUUUGGACUUUUGCCCUAAUCACUAUGUAGGAAUGGACACAUUCCUGGUAAUUAUCAACACCUUAUGUUUACUGAUGGGACAAAGAAAAC